rnacentral:rRNA from 1 species
GAUGAACGCUGGCGGCGUGCCUAAUACAUGCAAGUCGAGCGAACAGAUGAGGAGCUUGCUCCUCUGACGUUAGCGGCGGACGGGUGAGUAACACGUGGAUAACCUACCUAUAAGACUGGGAUAACUUCGGGAAACCGGAGCUAAUACCGGAUAAUAUAUUGAACCGCAUGGUUCAAUAGUGAAAGACGGUUUUGCUCUCACUUAUAGAUGGAUCCGCGCCGCAUUAGCUAGUUGGUAAGGUAACGGCUUACCAAGGCAACGAUGCGUAGCCGACCUGAGAGGGGGAUCGGCCACAGUGGAACUGAGACACGGCCCAGACCCCUAGGGGGGGCAGAAGGAGGGAACCUUCCGAAAUGGGGGAAAGCCUGACGGGGCAACGCCGGGGGAGUGAUGAAGGUCUUGGGAUCGUAAAACUUUUUUUUUAGGGAAAAAAAAAUGUGUAAGUAACUAUGCACGUUUUGACGGUACCUAAGCAGAAAGCCACGGCUAAUUACGG